UAGCGAAUCUUCGGCAAUGGGGGCAACCCUGACCGAGCAACGCCGCGUGAGUGAAGAAGGUUUUCGGAUCGUAAAGCUCUGUUGUAAGAGAAGAACGUGUGUGAGAGUGGAAAGUUCACACAGUGACGGUAACUUACCAGAAAGGGACGGCUAACUACGUGCCAGCAGCCGCGGUAAUACGUAGGUCCCGAGCGUUGUCCGGAUUUAUUGGGCGUAAAGCGAGCGCAGGCGGUUUAAUAAGUCUGAAGUUAAAGGCAGUGGCUUAACCAUUGUUCGCUUUGGAAACUGUUAAACUUGAGUGCAGAAGGGGAGAGUGGAAUUCCAUGUGUAGCGGUGAAAUGCGUAGAUAUAUGGAGGAACACCGGUGGCGAAAGCGGCUCUCUGGUCUGUAACUGACGCUGAGGCUCGAAAGCGUGGGGAGCAAACAGG
rnacentral:rRNA from 1 species